CCUACGGGUGACAGCAGUGGGGAAUAUUGCACAAUGGGGGAAACCCUGAUGCAGCGACGCCGCGUGAGCGAUGAAGUAUUUCGGUAUGUAAAGCUCUAUCAGCAGGGAAGAAGAUGACGGUACCUGACUAAGAAGCCCCGGCUAACUACGUGCCAGCAGCCGCGGUAAUACGUAGGGGGCAAGCGUUAUCCGGAUUUACUGGGUGUAAAGGGAGCGUAGACGGCGAUGCAAGCCAGAUGUGAAAGCCCGGGGCUCAACCACGGGACUGCAUUGGGAACUGGGUGGCUGGAGUGCCGGAGAGGCAGGCGGAAUUCCUAGUGUAGCGGUGAAAUGCGUAGAUAUUAGGAGGAACACCAGUGGCGAAGGCGGCCUGCUGGACGAUGACUGACGUUGAGGCUCGAAAGCGUGGGGAGCAAACAGGAUUAGAUACCCGAGUAGUC
rnacentral:rRNA from 1 species